CCAAGUCAUAGGCCUUGCCACACUCAAAAAGAUGGAUACCACAGAUAUGAGUAUUAGAAGGCAAGGAUAACUGGGGAUGAUCCCAGAGUUUGACUAGGGCCACUCCUUCUGAAGUCCAAUUCAUACAAGUCUAUGGUAUGAAGAACAGACUUCUGGUUUGAUGCAGAGGCAGAAAUGGUGGUCCCCUCUCUUGAGAAACCUUGAAAUAUCAGACAAGAAAGCAAAUUUCUCCUGUUUAAUGAAAUAGGAUACAUCUGUAAUCCUGAACCUCAAUAUAAAAAGUUCACAAAUAAUAGAAAAAUCUCACAGGGGUGCAUAAAGGGCCAGGAAAAUAUGCUCAUGGUUAUAGAAAUUAGACAAAGCUAGCAGACAGGAGUUCUCAAAACAUGAGCAUACCCCAAGGUACAAAACCACAGUUUGCAAAUCAAAUUUUCCAUUGACCCUUUUUGGUAUGAAGUCUUGAAAAGCUAGGAAGGUGGCGCUGAAUGAAGAAUCACAAACAAACCAUGUUUGCAAGAAGCAGUCUGUCAGGAUGACAGGAAGAAAGAAAGAGACUCUAUAUUGGGAAUAUUCUGCUGUGCCAAUCUAGUUUGGCUGGGGAGGAAUGAAGACGAGAGGAACACACACUUACAAAAUCCCAUCAUAAGGAAGAUUCCUGCUGGGCUGGCACAGGGCUCUGGCACCUCCCAGACACAAAUUUCCUGCACAUAGCUUACCCAGAAACAAUUCACCUAAUUCACACGUGAUUAUUAACUUAAAGGAAUACAUAUAAGACCAAUAAAGGCAUUAUAAGAAGAAAGGGUAAAAGCAACAGGAAAAGCAAAACAACUUGAAAACACAUGCAUAAGAAAACUGUUGCAACAGGGCAGGUGAAAAUUUUAACAACCACGUCACAAUUUAAAAAUAAUAAUGAUCCGGGUACGGUGGCUCACGCCUGCAAUCUCAGCACUUUGGGAGGCUGAGGCGGGUGGAUCACUUGAGGUCAGGAGUUCAAGAUCAGCCUGGUCAACAUGGUGAAACCCCAUCUCUACUAAAAAUACAAAAUUAGCUGGGCAUGUUGGCACAUGUCUGUAAUCCCAGCUACUCGGGAGGCUGAGGCAGGAGAAUUGCUUGAACCCAGGAGUUGGAGGUAACAGUGAGCCAGGAUUG
rnacentral:lncRNA from 1 species